UACGUAGGGCGCAAGCGUUAUCCGGAAUUAUUGGGCGUAAAGAGCUCGUAGGCGGUUUGUCGCGUCUGCCGUGAAAGUCCGGGGCUCAACUCCGGAUCUGCGGUGGGUACGGGCAGACUAGAGUGAUGUAGGGGAGACUGGAAUUCCUGGUGUAGCGGUGAAAUGCGUAGAUAUCAAGUAGAACACCAGUGGCGAAGGCGAGUCCCUGGAAAACUCCUGACACUGAGGCACGAAAGCUAGGGGAGCAAACAGG
rnacentral:rRNA from 1 species